UUAAUUAUUUUGUAGUGCUCAGACAACAUAAUAAAGGGGGUUUUAGGGUUCCUUGGUGGGCACUGACCAGCCGAGGCCAGUGGUCAUUAGACGGGCCCACCAAAGCAACAAAGGAUGUAAACAAAGGGUGGGAGAUAUACCCUAGAGGGCAGUUCUCUGUAAUGAUCCUUCCGCAGCAUAAAAAGACUAGUGGCCUAACCACCAAUCUAGCUGCCAUCUCAAGCAGCCUCUCGAUCAUAUCUUAACCCUGUUGGGCCACCUCUAUUUGACCUGUGAGCCUAUCUUCUAGGCUGCUGGUAUCACACAGAAUGUGAAUCCCAGCACAGUAGAGAUGUUGCCUGCCAGGCAGACUUUCUGUUCUGGCGAACCUGCAAGGGGAAGUGUUCACCUACGGAAA
rnacentral:misc_RNA from 1 species